CCCAUCUGGAAUAUUUUUCACAGACGCCAUGUUCUUAGACUCGCGAUGCGGAGCUUAUGAGGACGCAAAACAGCGAAAUUAAGUGUUUAAUCUUACUCACAAUAUGUGUUUUGUAAUAUCAUAUCGUUUUAUAGCGAUAUUUAUAAGGUGUGUGCGCCUAAACGUUUUUUAAAGACAUUUCUUCCACUCGCGAGGCGGACCAGACGAGGAUGUUUCUUUUUAAAAGGGAAACGCCGAAAGUUAAGUGUUUUAUCUCAUUUAUAUAUGUAUUUCACAACAUCAUAUUGAUUUAUAGCGAUAUUUGUGUGAUGUGCACUCCUAAACUUUUUCUCAGAGCGAUAUUUUCCUUCACUCAUGAUGCGGAGAAGACGGGGAAAUUGGUUUUAUCAAGGAAAACACCAAAAAUGCAUUUGAAUGGCUAGGCAUUGACGCGGAAGUCACUUUUAACAGGGGAAACAUAAAGAGACAUUUUCUUUCACUGGAGAUGCGGAGCAGACGGGGGAGUUGGUCUUCUCAAGGAAAACACUGAAUGGUUCAUGCUGGCUUAACAGAAAAAUCGAAAGGAGAUGAUGUGCUUGAAGAGCAUGAAGCCACCAAUACAUUAAGUGGGAUGAGAAGAGCUUUGUUAGGACACAUACCAGAGACAUGGGUAAGCCACAAUUGCAUAUUUUAAGAUUAUUGAUUGUCAUGCUUUAAUUUUUUGGAUUAUUAAACAAUAAUAAUAAUAAAGAGUCUGAUCUCCUUCUAAAAAUGUUUCUUAAAAAAUGCAUCAAAUGUAAGUUUUUGGUAUGCUUGCAUUAUUUAUUUUAUGUGCUGUCGCAUUUAGGUGCAUUCAUUUUGGUAGGAGGAGUCCAACCAUAAGUGAACAGUAAAUGUUUACUUAUACUCAUGCCUUUCCACAGAUGCCAUGUAUGACAGUUUCUUCUGUUGAUUAUUCAAAAUAUCAAUUUUUUGUGUUCCUCAGAAGGUGUGGAACCACAUGAGUAUAAAUGAAUGACAGAAUUUUCAGUUUUGGGUUAACUAUUCUUAUAUUGUAAGUGAUACUUGUCCCUGACAUUUC